rnacentral:pre_miRNA from 8 species
AAAUGUAGUAGACUUUAAGUAUACAUGUGGAACUGGGGAGUAUACUAAGUACACUACGUUUAU